UACAGAGGGUGCAAGCGUUGCUCGGAUUUACUGGGCGUAAAGCGUACGCAGACGGCACGACAGGUCGGGUGUGAAAGCCCCGGGCUCAACCCGGGAACUGCAUCCGAAACCGUCGAGCUAGAGUAUGAGAGAGGAAAGCGGAAUUCCUGGUGUAGAGGUGAAAUUCGUAGAUAUCAGGAGGAACACCGGCGGCGAAGGCGGCUUUCUGGCUCAUUACUGACGUUCAGGUACGAAAGCGUGGGUAGCAAACAGG
rnacentral:rRNA from 1 species